AACACACAGUUCAUGGGUUAUUGCAACUUUGCAGUUUGAAACCUGCUCGGUAACCGUAUAUGUGAAAAUAAACUGAAAUUCAGCAGUUUUUGCCUGGCUAACCCCCGUAACAAGCGUAUCUAGAAAUUCUCUGGUGAAGGUAAGCGGGAAAGGUAUCAGACCAAUAGCAACCCCCUUCAUUAUCAGGUAAAUAAUUGGGCUACCCUCCACAAGUACCAUAAAUACAUCAUCAACACGCAAUUAGCCUUCGUCCAAUUUUUUGAAAGUAAAACAAACUCCUACAAGGCUGUUCAUACUUUUUCAGUAAAUUUGAUGUCAUUUACUGACCAUGACCAAAAUCAUCAAAAUUGAAGGCCUGGCCCAUAAUGACUACUGCCAAUAUCUUCUGACGUAACUUGGUACACACCACAACAUUUUUCAGGCACCCGCCAAAUUUUACGACAUUUCCUCCACAGGAGGCGCUACAACUAGCACAUGUCAAUAUCUGAAGAAAUUCUGAAAUCUGGUAUACUUGCCUCAUUUGAUGAGGGUGUACAACUGACACGCUAGGGUAGGCAAUUCAAUUGUGGAGAAACCAGCAAGAGUAAGAUCCCAGCCCCUUCUGUCAGAACUCUUCAAUGAAUGCACAAUACCUACUGCCGGAGCACAAGUCCACAAGAGAGAGUUAGAGAAGGGCGCAGAGAACCGUUGCCAUCGCUAACUAUACACAAAUGAGCUACAUCACCAAAUUCGUAAAACUUCUUGUUCAAAGCCAAUAUACUAACACAAAAUUGAAAUACCCUCAAACGAUAUUUGCUCACAACUUCAAUGCAGACACCUGCGAAAAUACACAGAUAGAUUAGAUACAAGAUACGUGUACACAUAGCUACGGUCUACUAGCGUUAACGAUGGGGUAACACACAAGCUACAAAAGUAGCUAGCUACAUUGGCAGCACAGUUCAGGAAAAUAACUAAUUUCCCCCGAAACAAACAUUACCUCCAUUUCUAUUUUUUGGCAACUUCUAAAAAAAAUCUAAGCAAAAAAAAAAAAGAAGCCAGACAAAUGAUAUUUAUGUUCAAAUAUGACCAUUUACGGAGUAUCUUUUUUUUUUUGCCUUGCAUAUUAGCAUAAACGCAAUUAAAUUGGCUUGCGCCUGUCCUGGAAUAUUUACAUAAACACGUUUUAAUUGGCUGGCGCCUGUGCUGCCGCUUGAAAAGUUGAACUCUCCCCAACUUUCUACCGCAAUCAACGCAAGAAAACCAGCAAACCACAAUUCAGUUCGGCAACGCAUGACAUCACCCCAUUCAAAGGAAUGGGAAGAGUCUCCGUUGAAGCUUCCAAUGCUAGUUAAUAGCUCAUCAUGCUAACUGCCACACCAUCAUCUACAAACCAUAAAGUGCCUGGCUUCCUAUCCCUGUGGUGGGUUUGGCUUCUGAACCCUUUUGUCCUCAUCUCCUCUGCUGCCCACAAGACUUUUGUGGUUUACCCUCGUAUUAUCUUGGGCUCAGUCUAAUUCUCUUUUUGGCAUGCUUUUCUUCAUGGGUCAUCUUCUGUUAACUUUGUCAUGUAACUUGUUGUUGGGAAAGGAGGGAUGGGCAGUUUUGCUGGUGGUUGUUUAUCCGCCAAUGCGUUUGUGCUUGAAGCCACUCACAGAAGAUAUUGAGCUUCAGGAGUGAGGGUAUGUGGGGGAAGGGAGAAU
ensembl:lncRNA